rnacentral:rRNA from 1 species
GACGAACGCUGGCGGCGUGCUUAACACAUGCAAGUCGAACGGUAAGGCCCUUCGGGGUACACGAGUGGCGAACGGGUGAGUAACACGUGGGUGAUCUGCCCUGCACUUCGGGAUAAGCCUGGGAAACUGGGUCUAAUACCGGAUAGGACCACUGCCUGCAUGGGUGGUGGUGGAAAGCUUUUGCGGUGUGGGAUGGGCCCGCGGCCUAUCAGCUUGUUGGUGGGGUGAUGGCCUACCAAGGCGACGACGGGUAGCCGGCCUGAGAGGGUGACCGGUCACACUGGGACUGAGGUACGGCCCAGACUCCCACGGGAGGCAGCAGUGGGGAAUAUUGCACAAUGGGCGCAAGCCUGAUGCAGCGACGCCGCGUGAGGGAUGACGGCCUUCGGGUUGUAAACCUCUUUCAGCUAUGACGAAGCGCAAGUGACGGUAGUAGCAGAAGAAGGACCGGCCAACUACGUGCCAGCCGCCGCGGUAA